CACGUAGGGGGCAAGCGUUGUCCGGAUUUAUUGGGCGUAAAGAGCUCGUAGGCGGUUCGGUAAGUCGGGUGUGAAAACUCUGGGCUCAACUCAGAGACGCCACCUGAUACUGCCGUGACUGGAGUCUGGUAGGGGAGUGUGGAAUUCCCGGUGUAGCGGUGAAAUGCGCAGAUAUCGGGAGGAACACCAGUGGCGAAGGCGGCACUCUGGGCCAGUACUGACGCUGAGGAGCGAAAGCGUGGGGAGCGAACAGG
rnacentral:rRNA from 1 species